rnacentral:tRNA from 1 species
CGCAGGGUAGAGCAGUCAGGUAGCUCGUCGGGCUCAUAACCCGGAGGACGCGGGUUCAAAUCCCGCCCCUGCAA